AUAAUGCAUAGAAGUUGAACUUAAAAGGAUACAGAUGACAACCUCUCCAUUUACAUCCUGAAUGCCCUGAGUAGCGGGCAGCUGAGGCCCAGAACAAUCUAUUCGCUUACACCCCAGAAUCCAAGGACUUCAAUCCGUCCUCCAAUGCCGUUGGCAUCAGAGGUCAAGUUAAAGUUUCAGAAUGGGCAUAACACUAUCUGCCAACUAAUAUUUUCAGGUGGAAGUGUGAUUGUUCCUGUGAAGUCCUCAGUCUGGUAUCGAGUACAAAAAAAAAAAAAAAAGCACUU